rnacentral:pre_miRNA from 1 species
UCCGUUUGACUCUCCGUCUUAUAUGAAAAUUUUUAUAAUUCGUAUUUUUAUUGUUGUUAGAUGAUAAAACAUGAUUAAUAUUUUAUGCGUGACUUAUCUUUUUAAUUUUUUAAAUAAAACGGACGGUUAAACGUUGGACAUGGAA